rnacentral:rRNA from 1 species
GUCGGAGACCAUACUAUGUUGAAAGCACCGGUUCUUGUCCGAUCAACGCAGUUAAGCAAAGGGGGGCCCGGUCAGUACUUGCAUGGGUGACUGGCUGAGAACACCGGGUGUCGCCAGCUUUA